rnacentral:rRNA from 1 species
UGGGGAAUAUUGCACAAUGGGCGCAAGCCUGAUGCAGCAACGCCGCGUGAACGAUGAAGGUCUUCGGAUCGUAAAGUUCUGUUGCAGGGGAAGAUAAUGACGGUACCCUGUGAGGAAGCCCCGGCUAACUACGUGCCAGCAGCCGCGGUAAUACGUAGGGGGCUAGCGUUAUCCGGAUUUACUGGGCGUAAAGGGUGCGUAGGUGGUCUUUCAAGUCGGUGGUUAAAGGCUACGGCUCAACCGUAGUUAGCCUCCGAAACUGGAAGACUUAAGUGAAGGGGAGGAAAGUGGAAUUCCCAGUGUAGCGGUGAAAUGCGUAGGUAUUGGGAGGAAAAACAGUAGGGAAGGCGGCUUUCUGGACUGCAACUGACACUGAGGCACGAAAGCGUGGGUAGCAAACAGG